UGGGCACUGUCUCAACCACGGGCUCGGUGAAAUUGUGGUACCGGUGAAGACGCCGGUUACCCGCAUAUGGACGGAAAGACCCCGUGCACCUUUACUGCACCCUAGCAUUGGGUUCGGGUAAGGCAUGUGUAGCAUAGGUGGGAGACUUUGAAGCCGGGGCGCUAGCUUCGGUGGAGUCAUCGGUGAAAUACCACCCUUGUCUUAUUUGGAUUCUAACCUAGACCCGUGAAUCCGGGUCAGGAACAGUGUUAGGCGGGUAGUUUGACUGGGGCGGUCGCCUCCCAAAAUGUAACGGAGGCUCUCAAUGGUUCCCUCAGCAUGGUUGGUAAUCAUGCGUCGAGUGCAAAGGCAUAAGGGAGCUUAACUGCGAGACACACAGGUCGAGCAGAUGGGAAACCAGGACUUAGUGAUCCGGCGGUAGCAAGUGGAAGUGCCGUCGCUCAAAGGAUAAAAGGUACGCCGGGGAUAACAGGCUGAUCUUGCCCAAGAGUUCAUAUCGACGGCAAGGUUUGGCACCUCGAUGUCGGUUCAUCGCAUCCUGGGGCUGAAGAAGGUCCCAAGGGUUUGGCUGUUCGCCAAUUAAAGCGGUACGUGAACUGGGUUCAGAACGUCGUGAGACAGUUCGGUCCCUAUCCUAUGCGGGCGCAGGAUACUUGAGAAGAGUCGCUUCUAGUACGAGAGGACCGAAGUGAACGUACCUCUAGUGUACCAAUUGUCGCGCCAGCGGCAGCGUUGGGUAGCUAUGUACGGAUGUGAUAAGCGCUGAAAGCAUCUAAGUGCGAAGCACACUUCAAGAUUAGGUAUCCCUGGGGCUUAGCCCCACUAAAGACUCCUUGGAGAUUACAAGGUUGAUAGGCUGCAGGUGUAAGUUCCGUAAGGAAUUCAGCCGAGCAGUACUAAUAAGUCGUGCGACUUAGCCAUUUAA
rnacentral:rRNA from 1 species